CAGGAUCCCCGUACCGGAGGGUCGAUGCCGGCCGCCCUUUUUGCCUCCACAGAAAGAACAGCCGGAGGUAAUCCUGACAGCCUGUGAGAAGACUCCCAGAGAGCGCAACGGAAAGAAACAAACCAAAACCAAGCUGACCAUGCCGCUUUACCCGGUCCUCCAAGGAGGAACCGAGGAAGAUCUCCUCCCCCCCCUUAUAACUCUCUCUCUACUCCCCCACAACAACAGGCAGGGGGAGAGGUCCUGGCCCCAGUCGGAGCUGGGGAAGAAGGCCCGGCUCCGGGUACCAGCAGCUAUGAUGGCCCCACCCAGAACACUUGCCACUGGCGUGCCGCCUCACCAGCAGGGCCGGCAGACUCUACUGUUUUCCCACUGAGAGUGAUAGGGCCCCCUGAUGAGCAUGGUAACCAGCCUCAUCAUUACUGGCCCUUUGCCACCAGUGACCUUUAUAACUGGUGUACUCAACACACCAAAUUUUCUGAUAACCCUAGGGAUUUGAUUAACCUAUUAGAAACUGUUUUGUUCACCCAUCAGCCCACUUGGGAUGACUGUCAGUAGCUCCUCCAGAUCCUGUUUACCAUGGAGGAACGAGAGAGAAUUCAAAAUGAAGCCAGGAAAUUGGUUCCUGGUGACAAUGGUCAACCCACCACCAAUAUUGAUACUAUCAACACUUCUUUUCCUUUGUCCCAGCCCAAUUGGGACUUCAACACAGCAGAAGGAGAGCCGAGGGAAUGUGAACGUCAUCUGAGAAAGAUUGCGGCCGAAGGACAAGUGCGGAAACCCCACUCGGAUGACUAUCGACCGGUGCAGGACCUCCGUGAGCCUUCUGCUGGCACCCAAAAGCCAGCACAUCUUUGCAUUUGAAUGGAGCGACCCUGAGCAGGGCAUCAACGGACAGCUGACCUGGGCCCGACUUCCUCAAGGAUUUAAAAACUCCCCCACCAUUUUGGACGAAGCUUUGUAUGAGGACUUGGGCUGGACAGAGGCUUUCCCCACCAAGCACGAAACAGCUCAGACUAUGGCCAAAAAGCUUUUAGAAGACAUCCUACCAAGGUAUGGCUCCCCAGUAAUGCCAGGGACAGGCAAUGGACC
rnacentral:lncRNA from 1 species